rnacentral:rRNA from 1 species
AGUGAACGCUGGCGGUAGGCCUAACACAUGCAAGUCGAACGGCAGCACAGUAAGAGCUUGCUCUUACGGGUGGCGAGUGGCGGGCGGGUGAGGAAUAAAUCGGAAUCUACUUUUUCGUGGGGGAUAACGUAGGGAAACUUACGCUAAUACCGCAUACGACCUACGGGUGAAAGCAGGGGAUCUUCGGACCUUGCGCGAUUGAAUGAGCCGAUGUCGGAUUAGCUAGUUGGCGGGGUAAAGGCCCACCAAGGCGACGAUCCGUAGCUGGUCUGAGAGGAUGAUCAGCCACACUGGAACUGAGACACGGUCCAGACUCCUACGGGAGGCAGCAGUGGGGAAUAUUGGACAAUGGGCGCAAGCCUGAUCCAGCCAUACCGCGUGGGUGAAGAAGGCCUUCGGGUUGUAAAGCCCUUUUGUUGGGAAAGAAAAGCAGCAGGUUAAUACCCCGCUGUUCUGACGGUACCCAAAGAAUAAGCACCGGCUAACUUCGUG